rnacentral:tRNA from 1 species
GGCCUGUUAGCUCAGCUGGUUAGAGCGUGGGGCUAAUAACGCCAAGGUCGUGGGUUCGAUCCCCACAUGGGCCA